UUCACAGAGGAGGAUGAGUUGACAUUUCCUGGGUGGGCGAGAAAGGUGCCUGCCAGGCUUCAAAGGAAUCGGGUCAGGCCUUGACCCACACGCAGAAAAAUCAUCAACGUCAGAUGGAGACAGGCUGAAAUGAUUUUCAGAGGGGAGAAGAUGAUCCAGCACAGCCAGCUCUGCUGGUAGCCUUUAAAAAUGGGGCAAAGUGACAGGCAGCAUGGGGAGGGGGCACCUGACCAUGGAAGAAAGCGAAGACAUGUUUGAAGAAGGAUCCCCAAAGCAUUCAUUCCUUCAGGAAGCUGAGAAAAAGGGUCAUCUAGCCACUGCAGAUCCUGGAUGAUGAGUCAAGGCAACAUCCAUUCAUCCAUCCAUCCAUCAUCCGUCCAUCCAUCCAGAAGGGUUGGAACAUUUUGUUAAUGUUCUCUGUUUAGCGGGGUAUCAUUUCAACUCCUCCAGGAUACUCUCAGCAUUGUAUAAGACUCUUAUCAAAAUA